rnacentral:rRNA from 1 species
UACGUAGGGUGCGAGCGUUAAUCGGAAUUACUGGGCGUAAAGCGUGCGCAGGCGGUUUUGUAAGCCAGAUGUGAAAGCCCCGGGCUUAACCUGGGAAUGGCAUUUGGGACUGCAAGGCUUGAGUGCGGCAGAGGAGACUGGAAUUCCUGGUGUAGCAGUGAAAUGCGUAGAUAUCAGGAGGAACACCGGUGGCGAAGGCGGCGACCUGGUCCAAUACUGACACUCAUACGCGAAAGCGUGGGGAUCAAACAGG